UACGGGGGGAGCAAGCGUUGUUCGGAUUUACUGGGCGUAAAGGGCGCGUAGGCGGCCACCGCAAGUCGACUGUGAAAUCUCCGGGCUUAACCCGGAAAGGUCAGCCGAUACUGCGGGGCUAGAGUGCAGAAGGGGCAACUGGAAUUCUCGGUGUAGCGGUGAAAUGCGUAGAUAUCGAGAGGAACACCUGCGGCGAAGGCGGGUUGCUGGGCUGACACUGACGCUGAUGCGCGAAAGCUAGGGUAGCAAACGGG
rnacentral:rRNA from 1 species